rnacentral:rRNA from 1 species
CAUGUCCUACGGGGGGCAGCAGUGGGGAAUAUUGCACAAUGGGGGGAACCCUGAUGCAGCGACGCCGCGUGAGUGAAGAAGUAUUUCGGUAUGUAAAGCUCUCUCAGCAGGGAAGAAGAUGACGGUACCUGACUAAGAAGCCCCGGCUAACUACGUGCCAGCAGCCGCGGUAAUACAUAGGGGGCAAGCGUUAUCCGGAUUUACUGGGUGUAAAGGGAGCGUAGGCGGCUGUGUAAGCCAGAAGUGAAAGCCCGAGGCUCAACCACGGGACUGCUUUUGGAACUACAUGGCU